rnacentral:rRNA from 1 species
CGCGUAGGCGGCCCGGUAAGUCCGCUCUGAAAGUCCAAGGCUCAACCUUGGAAUGCGGGUGGAUACUGCCGGGCUAGAGUCCGGAAGAGGCGAGUGGAAUUCCUGGUGUAGCGGUGGAAUGCGCAGAUAUCAGGAGGAACACCAAUAGCGAAGGCAGCUCGCUGGGACGGUACUGACGCUAAGGCGCGAAAGCGUGGGAGCGAACA